CACGCCUAAUAGAAUGACUAAAUUUUUAAAAAACUGGCAAUAUCAAGUUUUUGGAAAAAGAUGCUGAGCAACUACAACUCUUACAUGUUGCUGAUACAAAUGCUUGGAAACCAAUCUGGCAGUUUCUCCUAAAGUUAAAUGUAUGCUUAGCUUACCAUUAUGACCCAGCAAUUCCACUCUUGGGUAUCUACUCAAGAGAGCUGAAAAUGUAUGUUCACACAUAAGUGUCAGUAAAUGUUUACAGUACUUUUAUUCAUAAUCACUAAAAGUUGGAAAUAGCCUCCUUCAACUAAUGAAUUGUUAAACUGUGGCUUAUUCUUUUUAUAUCAUACAUUAAUAUAGUUUUCCUAUCAGAAUCUGUUUCUGAUUUAUUAAAUUGAUCUGUCUAUAUUAUACAAUACUUAAAGUUUUAAUAACUGAAGCUUUAUCAUGUGUUUCACUAAUGUAUUACCCUUCUUUACAUUUUCUUUUAGUUGUUCACAGGUAUGUUCCCAUCGGAACUUUGUUGCCAUAUUUCUUCCCAAAAAAAUCCUAUUGUAAUUUCCCCAAUAAUUCCACUAAUUCUGAAAGUUAAUGUGUCAAGAACUGGUAGCUUUAUAAUAUUCAGUUUUCCCAUCUAUGAGCACUUAUACAUUUCUCCAUCUAUUCAGUCUUCUUUUAUAUUCCUCCGUGAAAUUAUAUUCCUCGUAACUAAAAAUUACAUCUAUAUAAGUUUCAUACAUACCUUGGUGAGAUUAUCUCUAACCUUUUCAUCAUUAGCAGUAAUGGUUAAAACUGUGAUCUUUUUUCCCCAUUAUCUCUUCUAGUUAGUAUCAGUUAGUAAUACUUAUCAACUUGGAUUUCUUGGUAUAGUCAUUUUGGUGAACUUUCUUAUUAUUUCUAAUGUUUUUUCCCUUGAUUCUUUUAAGUAAGACUUCUAUUUUUAAGUUACAUAGAGUGAGUCCCACUGAAGGUCAUGUCUUACCUGGCUAACAACAAUAGAUACAAUUUUGAGUUCUUCUCAACCACAACCGUUUGUUGGUAAAAUAGAACAAAACCAUUUCACACCACUGCUCAUUUUAAUCCCUAGGUCAACCUUAUUAUUAACUGUAAUAAAAUAAUUGCCAUUUACUAUUACCUACCAUGACUCAACCUUUGUCAGACAUUUUACUUGCAAGAACAUUUAGCUGCACAACAACCUUGCAAUGGUUGUUUAUAAACAGGAAAACUAGAACUUAAAGAAGCUAGGUACUUCCCCAUGACCACAGAGUUACAGUAAGUGGUUGAGACAGCACUCAAACCCCAGGUUUAUCUAACUCCAACACUGUUCCUCAUUCCACUUUACCACAGAGCUUUCUUCCUUUAAAAGAUGGGAUGGAAAGAAGGGGCAAAACAAAA